rnacentral:rRNA from 1 species
GAUAACUACUGGAAACGGUAGCUAAUACCGCAUAACGUCGCAAGACCAAAGAGGGGGACCUUCGGGCCUCUUGCCAUCGGAUGUGCCCAGAUGGGAUUAGCUUGUUGGUGGGGUAACGGCUCACCAAGGCGACGAUCCCUAGCUGGUCUGAGAGGAUGACCAGCCACACUGGAACUGAGACACGGUCCAGACUCCUACGGGAGGCAGCAGUGGGGAAUAUUGCACAAUGGGCGCGGGCCUGAUGCAGCCAUGCCGCGUGUAUGAAGAAGGACCUUCGGGUUGUAAAGUACUUUCAGCGGGGAGGAAGGGAGUAAAGUUAAUACCUUAGCUCAUUGACGUUACCCGCAGAAGAAGCACCGGCUAACUCCGUGCCAGCAGCCGCGGUAAUACGGAGAGGUGCAAGCGUUAAUCGGAAUUACUGGGCGUAAAGCGCACGCAGGCGGUUUGUUAAGUCAGAUGUGAAAUCCC